GCUGGUCUCGAUCUCCUGACCUUGUGAUCCACCCGCCUCGGCCUCCCAAAGUUCUGCGAUGACAGGUGUGAGCAACUGUGCCCAGCCUUCUUCUCCUUUUUUUUUCCCCAAAAGAAACGCGGAGUUGGAGACAGACUUAUUAGCAUUGAAGGGAGAGAUCUGAUGAAGAGAAAUGGGGCCACAUUGAGGCAGUGUCCUGGGAGGAGCUGUGGUUUUUACGUCUGUCGCUGUUAGGGGGAAAGAUGUGGACCAGGGUGGUAGCCAGUGGGCUAAGGGUGAGGCUCCCACCUCACAGGGAGGUGGAGAGAAAGACAUGGAGACAGAGAGACAGAGACAGAGAGGCAGAAACAGACAGACCCACAGAGAGAGAGGGAAACAGAGAUGAAGAGACAGAAACACACAGACAGACAGUGAUAGAAAAAGGGAGACACAGAAAUAGAGGGACAGAUACAGAGAUGGAGAGAAAGACAGAGACAGAUAGACACUAAGAGAGACACAGAGAGAGAAAGAGAUGGAGACAGAGAGACAGAGACAGAGAAGCAGAAACAGAGACAGACAGAGAGAGGGAGACAGAGAUGAAGAGACAGAAACACACAGAGAGACAGUGAUAGAAAGAGGGAGACACAGAAACAGAGGGACAGAUACAGAGAUGGAGAGAAAGACAGAGACAGAGAGACACUAAGAGAGACACAGAGAGAGAAAGAGAUGGAGACAGAGAAGCAGAAACAGAGACAGACAGAGAGAGAGAGGGAGACAGAGAUGAAGAGACAGCAACACACAGAGAGAUAGUGAUAGAAAGAGGGAGACACAGAAACAGAGGGACAGAUACAAAGAAAGAGAGACACUAAGAGAGACACAGAGAGAGAAAGACUGACAUAUACAUAGAAAGAGGGAGAGAGGCCGGGCACGGUGGCUCACACCUGUAAUCCCAGCACUUUGGGAGGCCG
rnacentral:lncRNA from 10 species